GGAGUUUGGGCCGUGUCUCAGUCCCAAUGUGGCCGUUCACUCUCUCAAGCCGGCUACUGAUCGCAGCCUUGGUGAGCCGUUACCCCACCAACUAGCUAAUCAGAUGUGAGCCCAUCUUUCAGCGGAUUGCUCCUUUGGUAUCCAGGCGAUGCCGCCCGAAUACUUUAUGCGGUAUUAGCAGCCGUUUCCAGCUGUUGUCCCCCUCUGAAAGGCAGGUUGCUCACACAUUACUCACCCGUCCGCCACUAAGUCAAAUCCCUCUUCGACGAAUCUCCGAGGAAAGUGCUUCGUUCGACUUGCAUGUGUUAGGCACGCCGCCAGCGUUCAUC
rnacentral:rRNA from 1 species